CAGGUUCAACAGACAACGAACCCUUUGUUGAUACGUGAACUGCAGCCCUAUGCAGAGGAAGAUUACAAAAUAAGAGUUCGUGUAUGCAGACUGUGGCGAGGAAAAAGGAUCAAACCAGAUCGAAAUGAUGGCCUCCAUUGUGUGCUGGUUGAUGAAAGGGGUGACGCAAUUCAUGGCAUAGUCAACGAGGCAAAUUAUUCCUCAGUUUCCAGAAAAUUGAAACAAAGAGAAGUAUACAUGAUCUCGAACUUUUAUGUACGACAGAGUCAAGAUGAUUUUAAAGUUGUGGACAAUUCAAUGCAAGCUCACUUCAAUGGAAAAACAGAGUUCAUACUGCUCCACAACAGCUUCCCACAAAUUCCACAACACCGAUUCCAUCUAUUGGAUUACAGUCAGCUGAAAAACGCGCGCAUUAAUAAAACCGAUCUUCUUACUGGCAAGUUUACGAACUUUUCAUAAAUAACAACAUUAUCCUUACAUUCAUAAUUUCGCAGCUAUUGUUAACACCUCUUUUUUGUAAAAAAAUAAGAUCUCUUUGGUUGUGUGAAAUCAAUCAUGCAAAUUGAGGAAGUUAAUACCAAAGAAGGAUUAGCGUCAAAAUGUGAGAUCAAUCUCCAAAACUUUAGAAGAGAAGAAAUCAACAUCACAUUAUAGGGAGAUAGUGCUAGAAUGGUUGACAUAGAAGCUAUCGAAAGUCUGCCUCCGCCAAUACUCAUGGUGAUAACCAGUUUGAAAGUGAAGAAAUUCAAAGAAUCAGUUAGUCUACUGCAAGGCUUCCAUUCGCACAUUCUCAACACAUGAAGGCUGGUGGUAUGAGGCAUGUCCACAAUGCUACAAACAACUAACAGUGAAGAAAAAUAGUGAUCUACGAAUCUGUCAAGAGCAUGGUAUGCAAAUACCUCUUCCAUGUUACAGGCUUCAUGUCACCAUUGAAGAUCCAAACAGUGAAGCCACAGUAAAGCUUAGAGGAAAACCAGCUGAACAGUUAUUCGGAAUAACUUGCAAAGAACUCUUGAACAAGUGCCCCUAUGCACCACAAGAAACAUUGCCACCAGAGAUAUUACAAACACGGGCAGAUCCAUGUUUUUCAAAUCCAAAUCACUGAGACGAACGACUUCAUAGUAAAAGGAAUCUUUCCAGACACAGAUCAUCAACCAGAUACCAGCACACCAGCUCAUCCACUGUAUGAAAAAAAAAAAAAAAAGAUUGGUUGAUAGAAGCAAGAAACAAUUGUUUGCUACCAGUCCAGAGAAAAAACCCCGCUGGUAACAACUACAUACAUUUCAACUCCAUUUUUCCACUCAUAAAUUCUUUCACACCUUUUAUAACUUCUUGCUUUCACAGUGAUACAGAGACAAGCAUUGAAUCAGCAGCCUCAACACUAGACACUCUGAACAAAGAAAAAAUAGAUUGAAGUGUCAUGACGCUUUUCAUGUAAAUACAAAUGGAGGAAACACCUUUUUGAACAACCUCCACAACUACUUACCACCUUUUUGGCUAGGCUAACAACUCUUCAACAACUGCCGUCACUUUUGGUAUAAAUGUAACUGGAGGAAGCACCAUUUUGAAGAACCUUCUGCUGAUACAUGGUAACGAACAUCAACACCUCUUUUCAGCAAACAGAGGAAAUGUAGCUA